rnacentral:rRNA from 1 species
UAGUUCAAAAUUUGAAAGUAGGUUCUGCCCUAUGAUUAUUUAAAUGGCUGCAGUAUAUUGACUGUGCAAAGGUAGCAUAAUAAUUAGUCUUUUAAUUGGAGGCUUGUAUGAAUGAAUAAAUGAGAAAUUUUUUUUAUUAUUUUUAUAAUUUGAACUUAAUUUUUGAGUAAAAAAGCUUAAUUUUUUUUUUGGGACGAGAAGACCCUAUAGAAUUUUAAUGACUUAUUUAUAAUUAUUUUUUAGUUUAAUUUUUAUUUUUGUCUAUAAUUUAUUUUUGUUGGGGUGACAAAUAAAUUUGACUUUAUUUUUUUAUUUCAUUAAUUUAUGAUUUUUUUUGAUCCAAUUUUAUUGAUUACAAGAUUAAAUUACCUUAGGGAUAACAGCGUUAUUUUUAUGGAAAGUUCAUAUUUAUAUAAAAGUUUGCGACCUCGAUGUUGAAUUAAGAUUAUUAUAUGGGGCAG